AAAGCAAAGCACCAGUGGCAUGUUUGUCUACAGGACAAUUCACAAGUGUCUACGCAGGUUGUCAAUUUUAAUUAGAUUGUCUCGAGCACAGAACGUUUUUUUUUGCGCAAAUCCUGUUGCUAUCUGAACCCACCGUUAGCUAACCUUGAAAUGGAGGACCACAACAAGACACAGAAGCAAGGUUCCUCUGCCUCCCAGCGACAAGCUGCUGGGCCCAGGCCUUUCCAGGGUUGUUUCAACCCACCCGCUGAUCUCAUUAAUCUGUCGAUACCCAACAUUAGGCCUAUUGUUGGACAGGCGUCUUCUGGUCAAAUGGACUACAGAAUCCCCUCCACCAAACACCUGCACACUUCAAGACCAGGAGCAAGAUCACCUCAAAUUUAAACAAGUGAAUGAGGAGAGCGGGCCAGUGUGUGCACACCAGAAGCUCUGCUGCAAUACUUGGUCAACGCUUGUGAAGCAACUCUCUCUCAAGAUUGGACUCUUACUGAAACCUUGAUGUUUCUCUUCUUCAAUAAAUAAUACGCUGUCCAAUUUC